rnacentral:rRNA from 1 species
GAUGAACGCUGGCGGCGUGCCUAAUACAUGCCAGUCGAGCGAACGGACGAGAAGCUUGCUUCUCUGAUGUUAGCGGCGGACGGGUGAGUAACACGUGGAUAACCUACCUAUAAGACUGGGAUAACUUCGGGAAACCGUAGCUAAUACCGGAUAAUAUUUUGAACCGCAUGGUUCAAAAGUGAAAGACGGUCUUGCUGUCACUUAUAGAUGGAUCCGCGCUGCAUUAGCUAGUUGGUAAGGUAACGGCUUACCAAGGCAACGAUGCAUAGCCGACCUGAGAGGGUGAUCGGUCACACUGGAACUGAGACACGGUCCAGACUCCUACGGGAGGCAGCAGUAGGGAAUCUUCCGCAAUGGGCGAAAGCCUGACGGAGCAACGCCGCGUGAGUGAUGAAGGUCUUCGGAUCGUAAAACUCUGUUAUUAGGGAAGAACAUAUGUGUAAGUAACUGCGCACAUCUUGACGGUACCUAAUCAGAAAGCCACGGCUAACUACGUG